rnacentral:rRNA from 1 species
UACGGAAGGCAGCAGUGGGGAAUAUUGCACAAUGGGCGAAAGCCUGAUGCAGCUAUGCCGCGUGUAUGAAGAAGGCCUUAGGGUUGUAAAGUACUUUCAUCGGGGAGGAAAAAACAAAACUAAUAAUUUUAUUUCUUGACGUUACCCGAAAAAGAAGCACCGGCUAACUCCGUGCCAGCAGCCGCGGUAAUACGGAGGGUGCCAGCGUUAAUCAGAAUUACUGGGCGUAAAGAGCACGUAGGUGGUUUUUUUAAGUCAGAUGUGAAAUCCCUGGGCUUAACCUAGGAACUGCAUUUUGAAACUGAAAUACUAGAGUAUCGUAGAGGGAGGUAGAAUUCUAGGUGUAGCGGUGAAAUGCGUAGAUAUCUGGAGGAAUACCUGUGGCGAAAGCGGCCUCCUAAACGAAUACUGACACUGAGGUGCGAAAGCGUGGGGAGCAAACAGGGAUUAGAUACC